AACGAACGCUGGCGGCAUGCCUAACACAUGCAAGUCGAACGAGACCUUCGGGUCUAGUGGCGCAUGGGUGUGUAACGCGUGGGAACCUGCCCUUAGGUUCGGAAUAACUCUCCGAAAGGGGUGCUAAUACCGGAUAAUGUCUUCUGACCAAAGAUUUAUCGCCUUUGGAUGGGCGCGCGUUGUAUUAGCUAGUUGGUAGGGUAAAAGCCUACCAAGGCGAGGAUCCAUAGCUGGUAAGAGAGAAAGCUCAGCCACACUGGGAGGAGGAAACGGUACGGAAUACUACGGGAGGCAGGAAAGGGUAAUAUAGGAAAACCGGGGAAAGGAUGAACGAGCAAUGCCGGGAGAGUGAUGAUGGCCUGAAGGUAGUAAAGCUCUUUUACCCGGGAUGAUAAUGACGGUACCGAAAGAAUAAGCUCCGGCUAACUCCGUG
rnacentral:rRNA from 1 species